AUUUGGUGGUGUGGACAACUUACACAUAACUUUUUGAAUCUUUCCCAAUACUCAUACAAGCUUUCAUUACCGAGCUGCCCGAUUCCAGAUAUAUCCUUUCUUAUAGU
rnacentral:snoRNA from 1 species